rnacentral:tRNA from 1 species
UGCGGUGUAGUGCAGUUCGGUCGCACGCCAGCCUCAUAAGCUGGAAUGACGCCGGUUCGAAUCCGGCCACCGCAU